CAGUUUCCGUCUACCAAAUUCAUUUACAAGGCAUUGCUCGACACAACGUAUAAUAGAAGACAUUUGCCCAAGGUGCCGCGCAGUGAGGCUGAACUCGAGUUUGACAGGGGCGGUACGUCUGUCAAAGGGUAACGCAGGUGUCCCAAGGCGAGCUCAGCGUGGACGGAAACCACACGUCAAGCAAAAGGGCAAAAGCUCGCUCGAUCUCGAUUUUCAGUAUGAUUGUCAUCAGUUUAAAUCAAAUCUAGGGUGCUGGGUUGACGGAAGAGUUA
rnacentral:ncRNA from 1 species